UGGGGAAUCUUGCGCAAUGGCCGCAAGGCUGACGCAGCGACGCCGCGUGCGGGAGGACGCCCUUCGGGGUGUAAACCGCUGUUGCCCGGGACGAACGACGAAGUCUACUUCGUUUGACGGUACCGGGUGAGGAAGCACCGGCUAACUCCGUGCCAGCAGCCGCGGUAAUACGGAGGGUGCGAGCGUUGUCCGGAAUCACUGGGCGUAAAGGGCGCGUAGGUGGCUCGGUAAGCGGGCGGUGAAAGUCCAGGGCUCAACCCCGGAUCUGCCGUGCGGACUGCCGUGGCUCGAGCACUGUAGAGGCAGGUAGAAUUCCGGGUGUAGCGGUGGAAUGCGUAGAGAUCCGGAAGAAUACCGGUGGCGAAGGCGGCCUGCUGGGCAGUUGCUGACACUGAGGCGCGACAGCGUGGGGAGCAAACAG
rnacentral:rRNA from 1 species